rfam:complete chromosome Acholeplasma palmae.
AAAAUAAAUUCAAGCAUACCAAAGACAGUAGGAGUCGCAAGACUUAAUAACCUACCGAGGCAUUUGUUAAAAAAACAAACUCUCUUUUGUCUUUGGUAAAGAGAGUUUUUUAAUACGCUA